AACGAACGCUGGCGGCAGGCUUAACACAUGCAAGUCGAGCGCCCCGCAAGGGGAGCGGCAGACGGGUGAGUAACGCGUGGGAACGUACCUUUUGGUUCGGAACAACUCCGGGAAACUGGAGCUAAUACCGGAUAAGCCCUAACGGGGAAAGAUUUAUCGCCGAAAGAUCGGCCCGCGUCUGAUUAGCUAGUUGGUGAGGUAACGGCUCACCAAGGCGACGAUCAGUAGCUGGUCUGAGAGGAUGAUCAGCCACACUGGGACUGAGACACGGCCCAGACUCCUACGGGAGGCAGCAGUGGGGAAUAUUGGACAAUGGGCGCAAGCCUGAUCCAGCCAUGCCGCGUGAGUGAUGAAGGCCUUAGGGUUGUAAAGCUCUUUUGUCCGUGAAGAUAAUGACUGUACCGGAAGAAUAAGCCCCGGCUAACUUCGUG
rnacentral:rRNA from 1 species